AUUGAACGCUGGCGGCAGGCCUAACACAUGCAAGUCGAACGGAAGCAGGAGGAAGCUUCCUUCUUUGCUGAAGAGGCGGGGGGGUGAGUGAAAUGUCGGUGACACUGCUUGAUGGAGGGGGUUAACUACUGAAAACGGAGGCAAAAACCGCAAAACGUCGCAAGAGCAAAGGGGGGGAGUGUCGGGCGGUUUGCCUGUCAAUGAGAGCAGAUGCCGGGAGGGAUUAGCUAGUGGGUCGGGUAACGGCUUACCAAGGCAACGAUGCCUAGCAGAGCUGAGAGGGUGAUCAGCCACACUGGAACUGAGACACGGUCCAGACUCCUACGGGAGGCAGCAGUGGGGAAUCUUGCACAAUGGGCGCAAGCCUGAUGCAGCCAUGCCGCGUGUAUGAAGAAGGUCUUCGGAUUGUAAAGCUCUUUUAGCGGGGAGGAAGAGAGGUAAGUUAAUCUCUUUACUUAUUGACGUUACCUAAAGAAGAAGCACCGGCUAACUACGUG
rnacentral:rRNA from 1 species